ensembl:lncRNA
UUUAGGUUGACUGCUUUUAAGUUCAAGUUCACGUUCUUUAAUUUGUCAAAUGCACAACAAACAUGCAGCAAGCAGUCCUUGCUGGCAGUGAGAUCCCAGUGUUCUCAGCUCUCCUCGAAAGUGCAGGUACUAAGUAGAGAGUAUAACAUCCAUAGAGGUGGCUGAGUAUCCUGGAGUCCAUGCCCAACCUCCUCAGCCUUCAGAGGAAGAAGAGUCGUUGUCGCACUGCCCUGACGAUGAUGCCAGUGUGAUGGGACCAGGCCAGGUCCUCCUGACGCUGCUGACUAGAGACGGGACCAGGACAGGUCCUCCUGACGCUGCUGACUAGAGACGGGACCAGGACAGGUCCUCCUGACGCUGCUGACUAGAGACGGGACCAGGACAGGUCCUCCUGACGCUGCUGACUAGAGACGGGACCAGGACAGGUCCUGCUGACAAUGUUGACUCUCUCCACUGUUGAUGUAAAUGGAGGGGUGUACUCCUCCCUGCUGCUUCCUGUAGCAAGCCACCUAAAGCACUUUCCAAUAUCGCC